UGAGUUCCAUAAGCGUGAAUACACAGAUAAGCGUAGCAUAUGAACAGAAACAAUACUCUCCGAUGGGUGAUAACAAUGGAGUGCUAGACAAAGGGUAAAUAAUCAGGGAAGUGAUGAAGUCCAGGUGUGUCUAAUGAUGAGGCACAGGUGUGCGUAAUGAAGGUUGCCAGGUGUGCAUAAUGAUGGGUUUGCUAGGACUGGUGGUUAGUAGACCUGCGAGUGCUGGAGAGGGGUAACGGGACUAGACGUGACAAUUACCUACAGAUCUACAGCCUCAGGCACAAGUUCUGAAACACAGGCCUAAGGGAACUUCUGGAGCUUCGGGCAGAACAUUAGUUCACCAAACCCUUUCAGGAGUCCAAAUAAUCAUAGCCCUAUACAUUAUAUAUGAGGACUCCAUCUCGUCUCGUUCCUGUGAGUCUAAGUCGCGAGAGUUCCAGUCAAGUGGAAUGGGUGCAGGAACUGAGCGGAGGAGCUAUUUUCAGCCAGCCAAGACCCAGGAGUUGUCCGUCCUGAGCACAAGCACUUCAGCUGUCUGAAAACUCACAAAAACCCUGCAGCCCACUGGGACUGAUCACUUUAUCAAACUGUUUCAAGAUAUGCACUCUGCAUGCCAUAGGGUUCACUGAAAGGAGGGGGAUAUAGCAGGAGCAGUGUACCCUAUAGGGACAGUUUUUAAUGACUACGAGACUUACAUAACAGAAAAAACUUGUAGCCCUUUCCUGCAGUCAAAUUACCUAUGAGUGGAAUGUUAUUCAUAUUUUUCAUCAUUUUAUAAUUAAUAAGCUUUUUCUUUUUAAACCCGCAGAUAAUCCGGUGUUUCUAUGUCAAACGGCUUUGUUAUAUUUCAGUCUUCUGUGAUGUAUAUAAAGUGUAAUAUUGGGAUGCAAACUCAAAAAUACAUUUCAACUCCAUAUCUGACAUGGUACAGAUGUCUUCUUUUUUGUAAGUCCAUAGCCAUGUGUGUGAGGUGUAUACUUUUGUUCCAAAGUAGAUUUUGUUUAAGACUACCAAGAAACACUCUGUGUGACCCUGAUUUAUCCCGCUGUAGUAAAAUGUAACAGCUAGUUUUGAAUUAUUGUCUAAGACUACAACUAGGUCACAGAGGUUUUUUCUGGUUAGUUUUCACAUCAAAGAAACAUUCCUAGCCCAAUGGAGAGACCUGUCCAUAGUGGUUGUAGCUGGUCAUUAAAGU